GUGCAGUUAGUACAGUGGUUAGUACUCUCGCUACCCAAACGCUAGCCCAGGGACUCCCCUCAAGGAGGUGACCGUACAAUGUGAUCACGCGAGCAACCCAGGUUCGAAUCCUGGACUGCGCA